AACGUAGGAGACGAGCGUUAUCCGGAUUUACUGGGCGUAAAGGGCAAGUAGGCGGUAAGCAAAGUUGGGCGUGACAUCUCUCGGCUUAACUGGGAGGGGUCGUCCAAAACUAGCUAACUAGAGGGCAGGAGAGGGGAGUGGAAUUCCUAGUGUAGCGGUGGAAUGCUUAGAUAUUAGGAAGAACACCAGUGGCGAAGGCGACUCUCUGGCCUGACCCUGACGCUGAGAGGCGAAAGCUAGGGGAGCGAACGGG
rnacentral:rRNA from 1 species